GAUGAACGCUAGCGGGAGGCUUAACACAUGCAAGUCGAGGGGCAGCAUAGGGUAGCAAUACUCUGAUGGCGACCGGCAAACGGGUGAGUAACGCGUAUGCAACCUUCCCUGUACAGGGGGAUAACCCGGAGAAAUUCGGACUAAUACCCCAUGAUGAUAUUAUGGGGCAUCCUUUAAUAUUUAAAGCUCUGGCGGUACAGGAUGGGCAUGCGCGACAUUAGCUAGUUGGUAAGGUAACGGCUUACCAAGGCGACGAUGUUUAGGGGACCUGAGAGGGUUGUCCCCCACACUGGUACUGAGACACGGACCAGACUCCUACGGGAGGCAGCAGUGAGGAAUAUUGGUCAAUGGGCGCAAGCCUGAACCAGCCAUCCCGCGUGCAGGAAGACGGCCCUAUGGGUUGUAAACUGCUUUUCCAGGGGGAGAAUUUUUCUGUCGUGACAGGAAUUGACGGUACCCUGGGAAUAAGCAUCGGCUAACUCCGUGCCAGCAGCCGCGGUAAAACGUCUA
rnacentral:rRNA from 1 species